rnacentral:rRNA from 1 species
AUUGAACGCUGGCGGCAGGCCUAACACAUGCAAGUCGGACGGUAGCACAGGGGAGCUUGCUCCCCGGGUGACGAGUGGCGGACGGGUGAGUAAUGUCUGGGAAACUGCCUGAUGGAGGGGGAUAACUACUGGAAACGGUAGCUAAUACCGCAUAACGUCGCAAGACCAAAGAGGGGGACCUUCGGGCCUCUUGUCAUCAGAUGUGCCCAGAUGGGAUUAGCUAGUAGGUGGGGUAACGGCUCACCUAGGCGACGAUCCCUAGCUGGUCUGAGAGGAUGGCCAGCCACACUGGAACUGAGACACGGUCCAGACUCCUACGGGAGGCAGCAGUGGGGAAUAUUGCACAAUGGGCGCAAGCCUGAUGCAGCCAUGCCGCGUGUAUGAAGAAGGCCUUCGGGUUGUAAAGUACUUUCAGCGGGGAGGAAGGUGUUGUGGUUAAUAACCACAGCAAUUGACGUUACCCGCAGAAGAAGCACCGGCUAACUCCGUGCCAGCAGCCGCCGCCG